rnacentral:lncRNA from 1 species
CCCGUAAGUGAAUUUUGGAGUAUGUUUUAAGUCCGACACAUUUUUGACGAAACCACCCCAAGCAGCCAUCACCAUGAUCACACACCAGUGGUGCCGUUUGGUGAACGUAGUAUAAUUCCAUUCUGCGAUAUUCCUUUUAGAAGAUAAGGCAACAUUUAAUGUUUGCCAUGGUUCUGGUGAGAAAUACUUUUUAACUCUAGCAAUGUUGAUAUUCUUAUCCAAUAUUUUGGUUGGAAGCAUGUGAUGUAGUUUCACUGUCGUCUUUCAAUAUGAUCGCAUUGCUGUCCAUUACGGAUUUUAGGUUUACCUCAGAUUUUAGUAUCCAACUUAGCAGUUAGUAAACUGUAAUUUGCUUUGGAUGUAUCAAUUUUUUUAGAGCUGCGUUCGUAUCUAUAGCUGUAUGCAAUUUGUGUCUUGAUAUUGUUUCAGUUUCGUUUCAAACGCAUCCCAAGUUUUAUUUUUUU